rnacentral:rRNA from 1 species
GGUUAAGCGACUAAGCGUACACGGUGGAUGCCCUGGCAGUCAGAGGCGAUGAAGGGCGUGCUAAUCUGCGAUAAGCGCCGGUAAGGUGAUAUGAACCGUUAUAACCGGCGAUACCCGAAUGGGGAAACCCAGUGUGACUCGUCACACUAUCAUUAACUGAAUCCAUAGGUUAAUGAGGCGAACCGGGGGAACUGAAACAUCUAAGUACCCCGAGGAAAAGAAAUCAACCGAGAUUCCCCCAGUAGCGGCGAGCGAACGGGGAGGAGCCCAGAGCCUGAAUCAGCAUGUGUGUUAGUGGAAGCGUCUGGAAAGGCGCGCGAUACAGGGUGACAGCCCCGUACACAAAAGCGCAUGUGCUGUGAGCUCGAUGAGUAGGGCGGGACACGUGGUAUCCUGUCUGAAUAUGGGGGGACCAUCCUCCAAGGCUAAAUACUCCUGACUGACCGAUAGUGAACCAGUACCGUGAGGGAAAGGCGAAAAGAACCCCGGCGAGGGGAGUGAAAAAGAACCUGAAACCGUGUACGUACAAGCAGUGGGAGCCCCACCACCAAAGCAUUCUCUGGUGUUGAAGGCCCUGCAAAGCAGCAUCGCGGUGGCGGAGCGUCGUUUGCGACGCCCAACACACAAAACAAGCGGUGAGUGCUUUGGGGUGGGGUGACUGCGUACCUUUUGUAUAAUGGGUCAGCGACUUAUAUUCUGUAGCAAGGUUAACCGUAUAGGGGAGCCGUAGGGAAACCGAGUCUUAACCGGGCGUUAAGUUGCAGGGUAUAGACCCGAAACCCGGUGAUCUAGCCAUGGGCAGGUUGAAGGUUGGGUAACACUAACUGGAGGACCGAACCGACUAAUGUUGAAAAAUUAGCGGAUGACCUGUGGCUGGGGGUGAAAGGCCAAUCAAACCGGGAGAUAGCUGGUUCUCCCCGAAAGCUAUUUAGGUAGCGCCUCGUGAAUUCAUCUUCGGGGGUAGAGCACUGUUUCGGCUAGGGGGUCAUCCCGACUUACCAACCCGAUGCAAACUGCGAAUACCGGAGAAUGUUAUCACGGGAGACACACGGCGGGUGCUAACGUCCGUCGUGAAGAGGGAAACAACCCAGACCGCCAGCUAAGGUCCCAAAGUCAUGGUUAAGUGGGAAACGAUGUGGGAAGGCCCAGACAGCCAGGAUGUUGGCUUAGAAGCAGCCAUCAUUUAAAGAAAGCGUAAUAGCUCACUGGUCGAGUCGGCCUGCGCGGAAGAUGUAACGGGGCUAAACCAUGCACCGAAGCUGCGGCAGCGACACUGUGUGUUGUUGGGUAGGGGAGCGUUCUGUAAGCCUGCGAAGGUGGCCUGUGAGGGUUGCUGGAGGUAUCAGAAGUGCGAAUGCUGACAUAAGUAACGAUAAAGCGGGUGAAAAGCCCGCUCGCCGGAAGACCAAGGGUUCCUGUCCAACGUUAAUCGGGGCAGGGUGAGUCGACCCCUAAGGCGAGGCCGAAAGGCGUAGUCGAUGGGAAACAGGUUAAUAUUCCUGUACUUGGUGUUACUGCGAAGGGGGGACGGAGAAGGCUAUGUUGGCCGGGCGACGGUUGUCCCGGUUUAAGCGUGUAGGUGUGUGUUCCAGGUAAAUCCGGUUCACUUUAACACUGAGGCGUGA